GACGAACGCUGGCGGCGUGCUUAACACAUGCAAGUCGAACGGAAAGGCCCUGCUUUUGUGGGGUGCUCGAGUGGCGAACGGGUGAGUAACACGUGAGUAACCUGUCCUUGACUUUGGGAUAACUUCAGGAAACUGGGGCUAAUACCGGAUAGGAGCUCCUGCUGCAUGGUGGGGGUUGGAAAGUUUCGGCGGUUGGGGAUGGACUCGCGGCUUAUCAGCUUGUUGGUGGGGUAGUGGCUUACCAAGGCUUUGACGGGUAGCCGGCCUGAGAGGGUGACCGGCCACAUUGGGACUGAGAUACGGCCCAGACUCCUACGGGAGGCAGCAGUGGGGAAUAUUGCACAAUGGGCGGAAGCCUGAUGCAGCAACGCCGCGUGCGGGAUGACGGCCUUCGGGUUGUAAACCGCUUUCGCUCAUGACGAAGCUUUGUGUGACGGUAGUGGGUAAAGAAGCACCGGCUAACUACGUG
rnacentral:rRNA from 1 species